UACGUAGGGUGCAAGCGUUGUCCGGAAUCAUUGGGCGUAAAGCGCGCGUAGGUGGCUUCGUAAGUCCGUUGUGAAAGUCAAAGGCUCAACCUUUGAAUGCCGAUGGAUACUGCGAAGCUAGAGUACGGAAGAGGCGAGUGGAAUUCCUGGUGUAGCAGUGGAAUGCGCAGAUAUCAGGAGGAACACCAAUAGCGAAGGCAGCUCGCUGGGA
rnacentral:rRNA from 1 species